AAACGACUCUCGGCAACGGAUAUCUCGGCUCUCGCAUCGAUGAAGAACGUAGCAAAAUGCGAUACUUGGUGUGAAUUGCAGAAUCCCGUGAACCAUCGAGUUUUUGAACGCAAGUUGCGCCCGAAGCCUUUUGGCCAGGGCACGUCUGCCUGGGCGUCACGC
rnacentral:rRNA from 1 species